AUUGAAACACCGGUGCACGUACCAUCACCGAAGUUAAGCAACGUUGAGGCUAGUCAGUACCUAGAUGGGUGACCGCUUGGGAAUACCAGGUGCUGUAAG